GUGCUUGCUUCCUCAGCACAUAUACUAGAAUUGGAACGAUACAGAUACAACUAGCAUGGCGCCUACCGAAGGAUGACACACACAUCUAUGAAGCGUUCCAUAUUUUU